rnacentral:rRNA from 1 species
UACGUAGGGCGCAAGCGUUGUCCGGAAUUAUUGGGCGUAAAGAGCUCGUAGGCGGCUUGUCACGUCGGGUGUGAAAGCCCGGGGCUUAACCCCGGGUCUGCAUUCGAUACGGGCAGGCUAGAGUGUGGUAGGGGAGAUCGGAAUUCCUGGUGUAGCGGUGAAAUGCGCAGAUAUCAGGAGGAACACCGGUGGCGAAGGCGGGUCUCUGGGCCGAUACUGACACUGAGGAGCGAAAGCGUGGGGAGCGAACAGG